UACGUAGGGUCCGAGCGUUGUCCGGAAUCAUUGGGCGUAAAGAGCGCGUAGGCGGCCACUUAAGUCCUGCGUGAAAUCUUGCGGCUCAACCGCAAGCGGUCGUGGGAAACUGGGUGGCUAGAGUGCGGGAGAGGAGAGUGGAAUUCCUGGUGCAGCGGUGAAAUGCGCAGAUAUCAGGAAGAACACCCGUGGCUAAGGCGGCUCUCUAGUACGGUACUGACGCUGAGACGCGAAAGCGUGGGGAGCGAACAGG
rnacentral:rRNA from 1 species